rnacentral:rRNA from 1 species
GACGAACGCUGGCGGCGUGCCUAAUACAUGCAAGUCGAGCGAAGUUUUUCUGGUGCUUGCCCUAGAAAAACUUAGCGGCGCACGGGUGAGUAACACGUAAAGAACCUGCCUCAUAGACUGGGACAACUAUUGGAAACGGUAGCUAAUACCGGAUAACAGUAUUUCUCGCAUGAGAGAUAUUUAAAAGUUGGUUAUGCUAACACUAUGAGAUGGCUUUGCGGUGCAUUAGCUAGUUGGUGGGGUAAAGGCCCACCAAGGCGACGAUGCAUAGCCGACCUGAGAGGGUGAUCGGCCACACUGGGACUGAGACACGGCCCAGACUCCUACGGGAGGCAGCAGUAGGGAAUCUUCCGCAAUGGGCGAAAGCCUGACGGAGCAACGCCGCGUGAGUGAAGAAGGAUUUCGGUUCGUAAAGCUCUGUUGUUAGGGAAGAAUGGAUAUGUAGUAACUAUACAGGUAAGAGACGGUACCUAACCAGAAAGCCACGGCUAACUACGUG